UUCAAAGAAAUCAAAAUUUUCAGUAUACUGUUCAUAAAGAACAGUGAAAGAUUCCAGUUUGUUUUGUUUUGUUUUUUGGUUGGGGGUGGGAGGUUCAAAAACUAAGACAAAAGUGUACUUAGAGGAAGCCCGGAAACUUAUGGCCAUAUUUGCAAUCUAUCACAGAGGGUAUAAGAGACAGAUAGAGACAGAGAGAGAUGUGGCUUCCACGUGAUAUGUAGGGACCACCAAAUGUCAGUAGUGUGAUUUCCUGGUGCUUUGUAUCUUGUUAAAUAAUUGACAGGCAGAGAGGCUCUUCUAGACAGAAAAUGAACCUUAAACUGCAUUUACUAAGAGCAGGAAAUGAAAUCUACAUGUUGUUCUUUUUAUCUUUGAUCAGAAAUGCUCACUGGAAAAAUGAUAAGAGGGUUUUAAAUCCCACAAUCUAGUUGUUAUGCAAAAAUGUCGGGUUUUGUGGGUUUUGUUUGCAACUGUAACUGAUACUGUUUGCAGGCAGUUCUGCCACUGAGGUCUGUACUUUUGAAGGCAGGCACUGAACACAUGCCCCAAGAGUCCGUCUCAGGAUGUAAGGCCCACCAAGCCAAGAUGUAAAUGGUAAGUAUUUUAGAAUCAACAACCCCUUCUUUUCACCAAAGACCAAUUACUUCUACACCCAAAGGCUGCACAAGGAAACCAGUAAGAACCCCUGCUUCCUCACGAAAGCAAAUCACUUGUCCAAGUUAAUUCGAAGCCAUAAUUGCUCAUCUUUAAUUUCGGCAAUAAUAAUCCUUCUAAAAUAUUUCAUAAGACCUCUUUAUAAAACUCUCCUUUAUGGAAACUUUUCUAAUAAAAGAAGAAAGUAUUAUAAGUAACCUCAGGGGAACAGUGCAAAGGGUUUAGUAAAUUGCAAGCAGCAUUCCUGACUGCUGAACAAACCAUGGUCUGCUCUAUAAAGCCCAGAAAGGCUUGAGGCAUAGCCAUGAGAUUGAAGGAAUCAUCACGUUUUUGUGAUUGCAUUUAUUCCUUCUUAGACUGCUACCUAUGCCUGUUAUUGUAUAGUCUCUGUGUAUAAUUAAGAUCAAAGAAUGAAGGCCGAGACCACCUUCUAGGAAGUUACUAUGCAAAAGAGGGCUUGGGAUUGUGGUAACGACCCUUGCUCUUCCCCAGCCUCCACACAAGAGCAUAUACUGAAAUCAAAUAAAAGCUCCUAAAACAUUUCCUAAGAAAUGUAGCUGGGCUCACAAAAACAGGGCAGGCAAACUACUCUAACUGUCAAGUAUGCAUACACAGAACAUGUCAGUUUGUCCCCAGCUACACUAUAGCUCCUUUGGAGAGGGCCUAACAGGUCUUUGGAUUCAGCUGACCCAUAUCUAGAGACAAUUGUCUGCAUUGUGAGCUAGGACCACCCUAAAAGGCAGGACCAUUCGAUUUAUCAUCCAAGCCAGGAUCAUAAAGUAUUCCAGAGCCAUUGGCACAAACGAGAACUGUCAGGUGACCUCUGCAUGGAAGGUUGACUUAUUAACUAUUUAAGAAAGGGCUAUUUUUUUCUCUGUUGAUGUAAUCAGACCAAGCCAUGGUAGAGCAGAAAGCAUGCAUUACAGAGCUCGCUGAGCACCCAGCAGGACCUCAAAACCUACGUAGAACACCACUGACUCUCCACAUCAAAUAUGUGGGCUUAGCUCAGUGUCACUCAAGCACAGCUCUCAAGUCUAGACAACAGUUGGCAGCUGUUUCCCGUGGAGCUUUGCUCUUCUCAACUCCCACAAGGUAACAGUAGUGAAAGAGAAGGCAUGUGUUAGCAUCUAACACGAUCACUCAGCCAUUCAGCGUUUGGUGGAGACACUAAACUAUUCAAACAUCCCCCAAUACUGCAAUAAUUCUGCCCCUCUGACAGGCCUAUGCAGCCUUUCCGGUACAACCCUAUGUUGUGAGGCAAGGGAUGCCUUCUGAGAAAUGUGGCCAUAUUGUCACUAUGCAAACAUCAUAGGCUACUCUUCCAUGAACUGACAUCCCUUUGCCAUUUUAUGAUGGCAUGACCAAAAUGUCCUUAUCAGCACAUGACUGUCUCAUUCUGCUGAGCCAGUGAUGACUUGUUCCAUCAUUCUUUAAAGGGAUCUGACAGCAUUCAUUUGCCUCUUCCUGGGCUUAGUGCUUAACACCACAGGCAUAUAAAUAGCUCCAUCAAUUAUUACCAGAGCCUACCCUCAGCCCUGGAGCAUCAACCCCAGGGGGGUUCAGUCAACAGAGAAGGCUACAGUGUAGUUCUAGGAUUAGAAUUUUAGUUUUCCUUUGAUUAUUAUAGGCUUUCUUUUCAUCUAGAUGCCUCGUGAAAAGAAAAAACACCCUCUCCUGUCCUAAGUGAAUGCUUAUACCAAAGACGACAGUCUGGAGAUCUUACCGGGUAAGUAUUAAAGUAUUAGAGUUUAUCUCCUUUUAAAGAGGGCUGACUCAGCGUCAGCCUGGUGAGUUCCUUUCAUAUUGCAAACUGGCCGAUAGUACUGAAUAAAAACGGGUCUGCUGACAUGAUACAAAUGACUAUGAAGUCUUUAGGAAAAACACUCAUUUCACCACUGCCAAGCACCAAGUGCUCUCUGAUCACGCCGCUCAUAUUAGCAUCUGUUGCAGGAUAAAUUGACUCAAAUUCUUAAUGAUCAGCACCCUUCUCCCUCAAUGGUUACUACCCUGGAUCUUGUACCAGAGCCACAGCAAUAGACAUUUAUUGGGGCCCCUCAGUCUUCAGUCUCACUGGACCCCAACCAGUCUCAAGUACCCACCCACCAGCUUCAUUAUAAAGCAAGCUGCAUAGGACAUGUCAAUCCCCUGGGUUAAAUGAUUAGUAGGGGGCUCUUGCCUUUUAGAGAUGUCCCUGGUUUGACUCUAUCAAACUCUACAUGAAUCCAGCUCACCAUUAUUAUUUCUUGCUGUUCCUAGGCUAGACCCCCUUCUGUGUCCCAUUUCACCACUCCACUCCACCAUAAAGUUUACAACACUCACACCCAGGGUUCAGAUCAGCCACUUCUCACUCUAGAUGCCACCCAGCCUUUCCGCUAUGCCCUUUCCAUCGUCCAGGUCAGAGGUCAAAGCCAUGGCCCCAUAGAGGAAGUGGGCACCAACCAAAAAGUACAGGUACCUUUGCCGGGAAUGGAAGCUGGAAAGGGCUCUUUGUAAACAGACAACCUCAAGGAAAAGCCCUUCUGGAUUGGUUUCAGCCUGGGGGCAUUCACUUCAGCUGUCUGACCUUCAAGGCUAUAAAAUAACUCCGUGUUCUUCCUUCCAAAGCUAGCUGAAGUCCAACCGGACUCUCUCAUGCUGUGCUCCCUAGCGGCCCACCCCUUAGGGAACCUCCCCUCCUUAUACUGUGCAGCAUUGAUCACUUCUGCUGAUGAUCUGGCCCGGGGACACUCUAUCCCAAGUUAUCGCUACUGUUUUAAUGCAGGUAUUCUAACCCUCAGCAAUAUUUAAAGCCUCUAAAAGGACGUUGUGUGUAAAUCUUACAGCACAUUCCUACCACAGCACCUGUCAAGCUAUUCCAAAUAUUUUUCUACCCAAAAGCUUUAACAGAUUCCCUUUAAUGGCAUCCUGUCAAAUCAAGUGGAAACGUUCCAGCGUAACAUUCUGAGCCUCCCAUGAUUGGAACCAAACAUGUACCUUUCUUCCCCACCUUCUCACACUGCCAUGUCCCCAAAUCCAUGCUGAACUCCUCACCUCCCUGCUUCUGUCCACGUCGCCUCUCUAUUUACUCUGCCCAUCAAAGCACCACUAGUCACACACCACUCGCUACUCAGUUCUUCAGCUGUGGCCAGGUCCCACUGAGCUGUUCUGUGAAUGCAAAGUUAAAAUGGAUUUGAAGACCUAAUUUGGGCGGGGAGGCUAGGGGGAAGUAAAAUAUUUCAAUAGUCUCAUUAUAGUCAUAGUAUUUGGAUUAUCUGAGGUUCAAUACAAUAUAUUAUUAGAAUUAAUUUCACUUUUGUCUUUUGUUUUCUUCAUAUGGCUACUGGAAAAUUAUGAAUUAUAUAAUAAGCUCAUGUUCUAUUUCUACUGGAUACAGCAACGAGGGGUUCUUUAUCCACCACCUCUCUUAGACCUGGCCUGACCAAGCACAAAGGCUUGGACAUCCUACUUGCACAGGUCCUUUUCUGAUUCAUGAUCCUCAUGAUCAAGUGUGAUUCUUCCUUGCCAGCCAUCCCCACAUCACUCAUAUAACGAAUCAAGCCAUGUGCUGCUAGGUGUCAGUGGGCAUCAGUGGGCUUUCUACUUGAAUCAUUCUGAUCAAUGAGGGCAGUUCACUGAGCUCAGCUAUGGCUGUCUGGGUUAAGCUCCAUGGAGAGCAGGUUAAUGGUUCCCCAAGAUGCCCACAUCCCCAUCCCCAGACUUGUGGUCUGUUUCCUUACAUGACAAGAAGGGAUUAAAGUUGCCAAUCAACAGUCCUUUGAAUAAGAAGAUUAUCCUGGAUCAUCCAGGUGAGCCCAAGGUAAUCCAAAGAGAAUUUCCUGCUUUGAACAUCUGUGCCCGCUUCAGAAUUCAUGGAAACUUUUUCCUCAAGGGAAAAGCACUGAGAGGUUGAAAAGUGUUGAAGUUAUGCACCCUCCUUCAUGAUGGGAUUCAUAACUUACAAAAGAUCUGGGCAGACCCUUUCUGUCACAUUCUUAGUCCCUUCCGAAGCGAUGAGGCAGCAUCCCUGUCAGUCAGCAAACUUACUAGUGCCUCGACUGUGGGCUUCUCAGCCUCCAGAACUGGAGCCAUAGCUUUUAGUGAAGCUCUCAGAGGUCAGCUGACUCUCCAAUCUCUGUAGGAUAGGAAAAUGUUCUUGGUGUGGAGGAGGGAUGCAGAAAAAGCACAGAAUGAGAUGAGUGGCAGAAGCUACAGUCAGAGCGACACUGACACUGACGUUGAAGAUGAAAGGACCACCACGCAAAGAAGGAGGAGGUCUUCAGAAUCUGCACUUCCAGAGACAGGCACAGCCUUGCUGACAACUUGACCCGAUAGACCAGUGUAAUCCUCUGUAGUUUUCUGACCUCAGAAAGUAUGCAGUAAUAGCCCGGUGUUGUUUUGAGCUGCGCGACUUAACCACAUCUUGUUCUGGCACAACAUCCCAGGACGGCGCAGAAGCAUCUAUCAGCUGACGUGGUCCACAAAUGGCCCCGCAGAGCACUUACUACUUUCGCUCUAUUUCACGGGUGAGCAAAUUGAGCCUUUGGAAAGUGACUCCAGGUCUUACCACACGCACACAGCUGGUAAUUGGUAAGGCUAUCUAUCAGACUGGAGAUGCCGUGAUGCUAAAGCCUACGCAAAGUAAUCACUCCAAAACUGUCUCGCUGUGAGCGAAGAAAGGCUCACAAGAGAGUGAGAAUUGAAGAGCGUGUGGACGUCCCUGGAGACCUCAUCAUUCUAACCCCACCGCUUUACAGACUAAUACUUUGCAUACCAGAGGAAAAACUGUCUAAAGAAAGAAACUCAGUCUGUCACAGCAAAGACUGAAGAAUAGCAACAACCCUGGAUCUUUGAAGAGAUGUACAAGAAGCUGAGCCACCUGCUACUGUGGGGCACAUUGGAUCAGUCACAAGUUGAGUGGCAGCACAGAGGAAAGAAAUGUUGAGUCUCAACAUCCAAAAUACCUAUCAAAAGCCCAGUAAGGUUUAUUAAAACCAUCAAAUCAUGCAAUCUUGGAGUUAAGGAACAGCAGCUAUGAAGAGAACACAAUCAUGUUCAUUGGAAAAGCAUGAGCCCUUCGCUUCCUGCAGCCACUGGCUGGGUACAGGAUGCAGGUAAUUCUUGUCAAAUCAGAUGAAAGCCUUCUCUCCAAGAAGCAAGGAUUUGGUGACUGGCAAAAUGACACGGCAGAUAACAUGACAUCAAUCUGAUGGCCUGAGUCAAUCUGAUUCCAAAAUCCCACAUGGUGGAAGGAAAUGGUCAAGUCUCUCAAGUUAUCCUCUGUCCUCUGUGAGGAAUACCUGGAACAUGGACAUCCAUGUAGGCUGCCUGCAGAGGUCAGAGGUCCACAGCAUCAACUCUUCCCCUGGCCUUGAGGAGACUCCCUACUCUGGAGAUUCUGGGACACCCAUCUUUUCAUUGCAACAUGAAACAGUUUCAUGAUAGAAAGAUGAAUGAUAGAUGUUUUUAUGUGUGUCUUUAUGAUGGAAAGAUGGAUGAUAGAUAGAUGAUAGAUAGGGAACUAAUUGAAGGGUUAGGUAGAUUAUUCAUUGAUAGGUUUAUUGCUACGAUAUGUAAAUAAUAAUAACCAUUGUGGGUUAAAGGACAGGGUAGAACAGUGGUUAGUGUGGGUUAAUCAAAAUAAGGAUGUAUGAAAAAACUAUUUUUAAAAUAGUUUAAAGCAAUUGAACAUAGGUACAUCAAAUGGGUUAACAAUGAUUCCUCUAGAACAGGUGGGUUAAUGAGUAAAAAUCUCCAUAACAGGAUGGUAAAAUCCUGUUACCAAAAACACGCCGCACUUUGGUUGAAGGCCACAAAGAAGUCAAGCUGGAACUCAUCUGAACAUUUUCUCCUUGGUGUCCAGCUUCCAUGGAACCAGCAGAUGCUAUCAGGCUGUUGGGAAGGGAAAGUCAUCAAUGGUGUUACUCAGUGAAACCCGAAUGCUACAGUAUCAACCUGCCUUCCAAGACGUGCCCAUUGGAGCAGUAUCGACAUCACUGUUGGGAAGGGGGCCUAACCAACCACUUUCUGAUUGGCUUUCCUGCUCUGCAGGUGGGAGUUCAUGCCUGGUACCAUAAACUGGGUUAAAAGUGGAUGGCUCGGGAGGUCACAGAUAAGCAGCGGUGGGGGUGGGAGUAUCACAGUUCUCUUAUUAAGUGGAAAACUGGACAUACUGUCAAACCACCUUCUAAAUAAUAGUGUUUCUGCCCAGAUUAGUGUUGCUCUCAACCUGGGCCAGAGAAGCUUCUCUCUUCAGUGGGCACAAAAUAACUCAGAUUCAAAACUGGUCAAAGUACUGAACCUAUAUGACUGGUGAGUUCUCAGCCCUAGAUGUGACAUUAAUACCCACUCCCCCAAGGCCCAGGGAACAGCAUGGAGGAGGGAGGGGGGAAAUGUAAGCUGAAAGAUGGGGAAGAACAGUACACAGUACUGUCUUCUGCCUGUCACACAGCUUCUGUAUUCAGGAACGCAAAGUGCUCUCUGGUUACCUGCAUCAGACCUGCAUGAGGUCAAGCUAAUGAGAUCAGUCACUAUUCCCACAGGCAGUGCUAGUUGAACCCAUAGGUUAUAAAAAUAAAAGAGGAUGCGGAGGGGAGUCUCCAGGGAAACGGAAGAGGGGGGUUGGGUUCGAUGGGUUCAAAGUCUAUCAGGUACAUAUGUGAAUUCUCCAGGAAUAAAUAAAAAAUUGUGGUCAGCUGACUUGUACUACAUUGAGGGGACAGCAAAGCUCAGAAAUUCUCAGUAAAAAAAAUUGCCUAUGAAUGGGUGAAGGCGUGAGUCACUCGAAGUGAGUAAAUAACCAUUCAUCCAUGAAAUGUAAUAAUGUAAUUUUCUAUCUUUUUUCAAACAUAGAAGAUAAAGUCUGUUUACGGACUUCACCAGACCAUAAAAAUGGACAAACGUGAACUAAGAGGUGACUCAAGGCAACCAAAGGCCUAUAAAUAGCCGAUAACAGCUGGUAGCUUGUGAACACUGAUGUCACUGGUGAGGUCCCCAGCUGUGGCUGAGAGCUAACUGGUGACCCCUGAGGACACUUGCCUUCUUUUCAGGAUUCUCACUCAGUGAGCAAUGUCUUCAGCAAACUUUCACCUACCCUCACUUUUGCAUGACCUAUAACACAGUCGCUACAGGGGCUUCCUUUGUUUAGAAAACAGGAUUCUUUCGGCGAAACUUGCUCAGCAAAGCUUGCUCUUUGCAAGUGAAAGAACAGGUAUGAGUGUUUUGAAUACCACAGAGACAGAUUUUUUUUUGGGGGGGGGGGCUUUAGACAGUACCUAACCUAGUCCAAGUAAAAUAUCCUUAAAACUUACCCAACCCAGGAGCUGGAGCAUGGACUCAGCAUGUGAAAGCCUUCAUUGCCCUUGCAGAGGACUGGGGUUUGAUGGGAGCCACCAUGUGGAUGUAGCUAAGGAGAUAAACAACCUUCCUUGCUGCCCAUAGAUAACAAUAAUAAUUUGAUACUAUGCGUGGACUGCCUUUUAAUAAGGCUCGCAUUUUUCACAAGAACAGUUAUUUCUUAGAUUUCUAAACUAUGGGCUAUUUGUAACUUCACCCUGUUACACCAGUCUAUAUUGAAAAGCGUUGACAGACCAGUGGCAUGCCAACACCACCUCGGGAGAGCAAGCCUACCACAACGCUUUCCAAGGGAAGCCGACAGCGGACAGUGUGGACUUCAGACGACCCUGAAGUGAAAUCUAUUUCUUUCCGAGACAGUAUAAAUCAGAAGUCGAGACAAAGAUAAACCGUGUCCCCGAAGUAAGUACAGCUACACCGUCAGAACCGAAAAUCAUUUUCCUAUGCUAAACAAGAAUGCCAAGGGUCCACUCCAAAGUCAAUUUCACUGUUUACAAAAAAUCACAGCUAUGAAAUAGCCAAAGCAGACAGGUAAAAUUAUAUAUCCCAAAGUGAACAGAGAGGUACAGUGGUCUAAGAUAAAGCGUGAUUAAACGGAACAUUAAGAAAUGAUGAAAACGGACAAUAUUAGGUGAAAGAAUGUUCUAAGAGAAUAGCAUGAAAAUAAGGCCUUAUGAAGUAUAAUAAAUCCAAGUAGAGUAAAAUGAGACAUGCCUAUAGUUAAAAAACAAAUAAAACUCAAAUUAGAAUCCCAGGGGAAAACACAGCUACAAGUAGUUUGAGAAAAAGUCCCAUACCCCAUUAAAAUGUAAAUAGAGUCCUUCUCAGUAUGAUGACUAAUGGUUGUUCCCUCCAAACUGAAGGUUCCAGUUACAAUUUUGUGGAGUUUAUUAUCCCUGAAAAUUAUCCAUCACUAUUGAUAUUUCACUUUCUGUAACUUCAGUUGCGUGCAGUCAAACGUGGCAUGGUGAUUUAAAUGAGAAUGGUACCCAUGGGCCCAAAUAUUUGAAUAUUUGGUCCCCAGUUGGUGGAACUGUUUUGGAAGGAUUGGAAUUGUGGCCUUGUAGGGGAAAGUACAUCACUGGGGGCAGACUUUGAAGUUUCUAAAGCCCACACCAGAGAGGGAGUCUCUCUCUCUCGCUCUCGCUCUCGCUCUCGCUCUCGCUCUCGCUCUCGCUCUCGCUCUCGCUCUCGCUCUUCUUGUUACAUGUGGACCAUAUAUAAGCUUUCAGCUACUGCUCCCGUGUCUCAUUCCUGC
rnacentral:sRNA from 1 species